rnacentral:rRNA from 1 species
AGACAGCAGUAGCCACGGUAAUACGAAGGGUGCAAGCGUUAAUCGGAAUUACUGGGCGUAAAGCGUGCGCAGGCGGUUGUGUAAGACAGGUGUGAAAUCCCCGGGCUUAACCUGGGAACUGCGCUUGUGACUGCACAGCUAGAGUAUGGCAGAGGGGGGUGGAAUUCCACGUGUAGCAGUGAAAUGCGUAGAGAUGUGGAGGAACACCGAUGGCGAAGGCAGCCCCCUGGGCCAAUACUGACGCUCAUGCACGAAAGCGUGGGGAGCAAACAGGAUUAGAUACCCCGGUAGUCCCUGUCUCUUAUAC